rnacentral:rRNA from 1 species
GACGGGGGGGGCAAGUGUUCUUCGGAAUGACUGGGCGUAAAGGGCACGUAGGCGUGAAUCGGGUUGAAAGUGAAAGUCGCCAAAAAGUGGCGGAAUGCUCUCGAAACCAAUUCACUUGAGUGAGACAGAGGAGAGUGGAAUUUCGUGUGUAGGGGUGAAAUCCGUAGAUCUACGAAGGAACGCCAAAAGCGAAGGCAGCUCUCUGGGUCCCUAUCGACGCUGGGGUGCGAAAGCAUGGGGAGCGAACAGG